rnacentral:rRNA from 1 species
AUUGAACGCUGGCGGCAGGCUUAACACAUGCAAGUCGAGCGGAGUGAUGGUGCUUGCACUAUCACUUAGCGGCGGACGGGUGAGUAAUGCUUAGGAAUCUGCCUAUUAGUGGGGGACAACAUCUCGAAAGGGAUGCUAAUACCGCAUACGUCCUACGGGAGAAAGCAGGGGAUCACUUGUGACCUUGCGCUAAUAGAUGAGCCUAAGUCGGAUUAGCUAGUUGGUGGGGUAAAGGCCUACCAAGGCGACGAUCUGUAGCGGGUCUGAGAGGAUGAUCCGCCACACUGGGACUGAGACACGGCCCAGACUCCUACGGGAGGCAGCAGUGGGGAAUAUUGGACAAUGGGGGGAACCCUGAUCCAGCCAUGCCGCGUGUGUGAAGAAGGUUUUCGGAUCGUAAAGUUCUGUCAAUUGGGAAGAAGGCCUACUAGUUAAUAGCUAGUGGGAUGACGGUACCUAAGAAGGAAGCUCCGGCUAACUAUGUGCCAGCAGCCGCGGUAA